UGCGUCCUACGGGAGGCAGCAGUGGGGAAUAUUGCACAAUGGGGGGAACCCUGAUGCAGCGACGCCGCGUGAGUGAAGAAGUAUUUCGGUACGUAAAGCUCUAUCAGCAGGGAAGAAAAAAGGACGGUACCUGAGUAAGAAGCCCCGGCUAACUACGUGCCAGCAGCCGCGGUAAUACGUAUGGGGCAAGCGUUAUCCGGAUUUACUGGGUGUAAAGGGAGCGUAGGCAGCAGGGCAAGCCUGAUGUGAAAGCCCGGGGCUCAACCCCGGGACUGCAUUGGGAACUGCCCCGCUCGAGUGCCGGG
rnacentral:rRNA from 1 species